CCAAUAGCGUAUAUUAAAGUUGUUGCAGUUAAAAAGCUCGUAGUUGAAUUUCGGGGUCAGUAGGUCGGUCGUGCCACAGGUAUGCACUGGUCUCACUGAUUCCUCCUUCCUGAUGAACCGUAAUGCCAUUAAUUUGGUGUUGCGGGGAGCCUGGACUGUUACUUUGAAAAAAUUAGAGUGUUUAAAGCAGGCUAACGCUUGAAUACAUUAGCAUGGAAUAACGGAAUAGGACGUUCGAUCUUAUUUUGUUGGUUUCUAAGAUUGACGUAAUGAUUAAUAGGGAUAGUUGGGAGCAUUAGUAUUCAAUUGUCAGAGGUGAGAUUCUUGGAUUUAUUGAAGACUAACUACUGCGAAAGCAUUUGCCAAGGAUGUUUUCAUUAAUCAAGAACGAAAGUUAGGGGAUCGAAGACGAUCAGAUACCGUCGUAGUCUUAACCAUAAACUAUGCCGACUAGGGAUCGGAUGAUGUUAAUUUUUUAAUGACUCAUUCGGCGCCUUACG
rnacentral:rRNA from 1 species